AGCUCGUGUUCUUGCUCAUAGGUUAUCGCUUCGAAGCAAAGGAUGUUUGGCCAUUGUCAUCCUUGGGCAAUUUUUUUCACCUUCUUCUUCACUCCCUUGUCUUCUGUUCUCUGAAAAAGACCUACUGUCCCCUAAAACAUGUAUUAUCAUUAUCAUCAUCAUUAACAACAAGAAGAAUGUGAAAAAGUUUCAUGUACAUGUCCCCUUUGAGUCUUUUUAGGUGAUCCAUUCCUUUAUGCUCCUGGAUCACGGUGCCUCUACCAAGGCAUGCCUGUGAGUUCUCUCACCUCAGCUUCUCCCUCACUCAUUCCCUUUCCUUCAUGUGGAGUUGGUUCAGGUGUCUGUGUGUGUGAUCACUCAUGCUUUUUGUCAAAAUAGACUAUACACAUGAUGGUUCUGUGCCGUGCUUGCAAUUACACCUUGUCGUUGCUCAGGAACAGAGUACUGCUUGUCAUGAGAAGCUUGGAGAUCCGAGGUAGCCAAAUGCAGAUGCUGUUGAUUGCACUUGGACUUGCAUCAGCCGGAACAAACUUCUUUUCCUUGGAGCACCAUUGCAAUCAAGUCUUCGAGCUCAGGAAACCGGCAGCCGUCUAUUCUAGUGUGGUAGUUGCAGCUUCUUCACAGUUUGGAACUUUCUCCAUCAUAGCAAGGCACUGCUCUUGACAGUGAAAUUUUGUGGAAGCUACUUGGAGUUUAAAUUGAUUGUGGCUCGUGCUGGCAUCAGAAAUAAGGGGCCAACUGCCAUGAAUGGCUUUGGAGAGACACCAAAGCCAAGGAGUUGAGAGUCCAUCAGAACUAGCUUGUGACAGGGAUGUCUCUUGGAAGGACUCAGGAUCAUCAUCCAUGAGUGCCAUCACGUUUGGAUUAGCUGCCACUGCAGUACUAGUAUCUAUGUUUCUUGUCAUGGCAAUCUUUGAACAUCUAAUCAUACCAAGGGUGUCCUUCUUUCGGUCGCGGAGCAAUGCACGAGGAUCCUCGGAAACCGGCCAGCUGCCUGUGCAGACUCACCUGCAGGAGAAGAUUCAGGAUUCAGUAGCAGUUGGAGCUCAGCACACAUCUGAUCUGUCUGUGCUAAUGCCGGGACAAGAUUAUCCUACCUUCAUUGCUCAACCUGCUCCUCUUCCUUGCCAAAGAGAGGGCAUGCACUGGCCUUCACAUGGUCCUGAUGUAUCCUACAAUUAAAUGAUGUCAUCUGGUGCAAUUCCAUUGGAGAGAGAUACUGAAAAUGGCUCUGAGAUACUGCAAUUCCAUAAAGCAAAAUUAUUUAUAUCUUCAGCAAAUGGCUCUGAGAUUAUUAUGUAAGAAA